GAUGAACGCUGGCGGCGUGCUUAACACAUGCAAGUCGAACGGAAAGGCUCCUGCUUGCAGGGGUACUCGAGUGGCGAACGGGUGAGUAACACGUGGGCGAUCUGCCCUGCACUUCGGGAUAAGCCUGGGAAACUGGGUCUAAUACCGGAUAGGACCACAUUUUGGAUGGUGUGGUGGAAAGUUUUUCGGUGUGGGAUGAGCUCGCGGCCUAUCAGCUUGUUGGUGGGGUAAUGGCCUACCAAGGCGUCGACGGGUAGCCGGCCUGAGAGGGUGUACGGCCACAUUGGGACUGAGAUACGGCCCAGACUCCUACGGGAGGCAGCAGUGGGGAAUAUUGCACAAUGGGCGCAAGCCUGAUGCAGCGACGCCGCGUGGGGGAUGACGGCCUUCGGGUUGUAAACUCCUUUCGCUAGGGACGAAGCGCAAGUGACGGUACCUGGAGAAGAAGCACCGGCUAACUACGUG
rnacentral:rRNA from 1 species